AAUUGGACUCAACGCCGGGCAGCUCACCGGAUAAGACAGCUGGAUGAUAGCCGGGCUGAAGACUCUGCUUGACUAGCUGAGAGGAGGUGCAUGGCCGUCGUCAGUUCGUACUGUGAAGCAUCCUGUUAAGUCAGGCAACGAGCGAGACCCACGCCAACAGUUGCCAGCAUGUCCUCCGGGAUGAUGGGGACACUGUUGGGACCGCCUCUGCUAAAGAGGAGGAAGGAAUGGGCAACGGUAGGUCAGCAUGCCCCGAAUUAUCCGGGCUACACGCGGGCUACAAUGGUCAGGACAAUGGGUAUCGACACCGAGAGGUGGAGGCAAUCUCCUAAACCUGUCCUUAGUUCGGAUUGUGGGCUGCAACUCGCCCACAUGAAGCUGGAAUCCGUAGUAAUCGUGGAUCAGAAUGUCACGGUGAAUACGUUCCCGGGUCUU
rnacentral:rRNA from 1 species